ensembl:lncRNA
GUUAUAAGUGUCAUUCAGACACCAGUCUUCUGAGAUGGGAAAGACCAAUGAUGAAAAGACCAGUGAUGUUUCUUCACUCCUUUCAGAAGAUAUUAACUGCAAGGUCUUUCCUGUCUUGCAAGAGUUUGGGCGUUGCAGAGAACAACAGGUGAAGGCGUGAAGUGCAACACUGAGAAAACAUGCACAUGCACAUAGGAUAAUCUCAGUGUCCCAGUUGUGCACUUGCAUGGCUAGGUAAAACAGAACAAAACAAGACAGCAACCUGAAGGAGAACAAGUGCAGUGAAGGAUAAUAAAGAAAGCUCUACUAUGACACCUUCAAAACAAGCUGCUCUCUAAAAAAGUAGCCUCACACUCAAUAUUGUGAUUGGAAAAUACCCUGACACGUAGUUUACUCUCAUAGAAUAUUCCUACCUGUUGCUUAGGAAUAUUCAGUCUCCUGUAAACUUAUUCACUGGGUCUGGUUGGAAUGGAGCUAAUGUUGUUCACAGCAACCCAUACAGUGCUGAUUUAGAUUUGUCACUAAAACAUUGCUGGUAACACAUCUGUUGCUGAGCAAUGCUUGAGCAACUUUGAGACCUCUGUUUCUCAUGCUAUCCCUUGCAGCAAGAAAGCUAGAAGCCUUGCCAGUGGGCAGAAGGUUGGGAAGGGACAUAGAUGACCCAAACUGAUCAGAGAGAUAUUCCAUAUCAUUUCACAUCACACUCAGCAAUGAAGGCAGGGGAGGCAAGUUUUUCCAAAGUAGCCAUUGCUCAUAGGCUGGUUGGACACAUUUGCUCUUGGGUGGUGGUGAGCAAUUGAUUACCUUUGCACCACUUGUUUUCCAUUUGUUUUGUUGCAUUUCACUUAUUAAGCUG